rnacentral:lncRNA from 1 species
CUCUUUCUCUUCCCCACAAGUUCCUGGCCAGCCUCUUCCACUCUUCCUCUCUCCUCUCUCUUUCUGUCCCUGUCCUUUCUCUCCUUCUACCCCUCCUCCAUGCCCCCUUCCAGUCCACCAAUAAAAUUCCUUUUAUAUUAGGUCUAUCACAUGGCUUGACUGUUCAUGGGAACACCUUGGCAGGGACCGCUAAGGUAUUCCCUCCCGCCACAUUAUAAGGAAUCUCACAAAACACAGCAGAUGUUGCUGAUGCAAGGGACACACUUUGAGAUAUCCUAGCAGCAAGCCCCACUUUCCAGUAACUGAAGUCAUCUGCAGACACUGAGACCGUCCUUCGGAGGUGGGGCAGCUGAGAACCAUUGAAUACGGGAAGGCGUCUGAAGGCUCGUGGAAGCAGGGAUGCAGAAACACAUCCUCAUCACCUCCCGUCUCGCCUUCUCCCUCAGGAGAGCUAGAAGAGCAGUGGAAGCUGAAAGUGCCCUGGCCAGUGAGAUUCUUUAGCAGCUAAGCAACAGGCUGAAGUAGCUUCUGUGUUGGGCAAGGAGGCUUCUAACCAUCUGAGCCUACCAGUGGAAAAUCAAGCAGACCCGUAAAGCAAGACCUUACAUCCCACAGGCGUGGAGAAUUGGGUUAUGGCACUAAGCAAUGGAUUCCCAUCAGCCAAGGAAAAAAAAUGAUGCUGAUGAAUUUUAAAGUUCAUGUAGUCGGAGAUGUCCUGAUGCCUGCCACAAUGAACUUGACUGAUACAACCCAACAAGCAGAUGCUUGGUGUCUGGCCUGAAGCAUUGUUUAGCGGGAUGAGAGAUUAUAGGGCUCUUUACAAGUGAUCACCUACCAUGUAUGUGGGUAAAGGUUGACUACACAACCACCGUUCUGUAAAAAUGUGUUAAUCACAAGAAACAUACCACAAACCAUCAGAAAGAUUUGGCCUAGAUGUCCUGGAGAUAUUGGCACAACAAACAAGCAAACAAAACUCCAAAACAAAAGAAAUUCACAAACAAACAACAAGACCAAUGGCAUGUUUCAGUCCGUUGACUUUUUACCAGACAAGAAAUAAAAACUCUUCCUGGCUUGGGUUCUUCUUGCUUAUAUUAUUGGUGGGACACAUUUCUUUAGUAUUUAUUCUUUCCUUUCGUUUUUACAACCAGUCUCCCUUGAUAGGAAGGCUGAGGAGUAGCCCAAGCACACACAGC